CUCUUCCUGAAGUACUCCUCUUUCUGAGGAUCACUGAACCCUCGUACCUCUGUUACCUGGUCUACACACUC